GUUAACAUGGCUGUAUAACCUAAAUCAAUAAUUUGCAGUUCUCCGCAAGCUAUUAUUUAUCUGCUUGAUUGCUUCAUUUGCAAAAGUGUGGAUCAAAAUGUCCUGAAGUGUCAAGUGUUUAACUACUUAUUUAGUAGAGCGCUAAAAUUAUCAAACGAAACAUGAGUUUUGGGAUUUGUAAUCGAUGUAGCUAAGAUUUGGUUUAUUGAUUUUACAUGAAGAAGUGUGGUGUAUCUGGAAUUAUGUUCAAUUAACAAUCAAGCUAUGCCUCUUGUGUGCAGCAGCUCUUAAGUUGCCAUGCAAUAUAACGAAGUCUUUAGCUGUUGAUUGCACAAGCCAUAUGCCAACUACUGUAAAAAGCUGGACUCGAAAGGAUGUGCCGAGUUUUCCUUUAUUUAAGAUGAUUUAUUUUUAUAACUGAAUCAACUACCUCCAACUUAAAAUUCAUGAAGUCCAGAAGACGAUUUGUUUUCAGUGUAUUAUAUCGUAUAUGAUUCAACUGUUGGUGUUGUUCAUACACCAUCUCUAGAAGAUUAUAUUCCGUUUCCUUGUAUAUGGAGUUUGUAUCGAUACUCUUAAUACUCGACCAUGAGUUUCUUCACGCGAAAUGAAUAUGAAUUCUGCUCCA